CUAGUUUUUAAAAGCCACCUGUAAGUAGCAUUCCACAAUGAUAAUAUUGCCAGUUGUUGCUUUUUCUUAAGUGUGUUGGCUCAAAGUGUGAGAUGACUUUUAAAAACGAAGUACAGAACUUGCUUCCUAAAAGCUUAUCUUGGUAGCUGAUGCACUAGUGAACGUUCCUACUAUGAUUAUUAUUCCAGACAACUUUGCACCAUGCGGACAGGUCAAAUGAGACCAGAAGUAUUAUGAACCAAUGCUAAUCAGGACUGUUUCCUGCACUCUGAGACCAAAGGGGCCAUUCUCACAAAGAAAGAGCUCCUGCCAUGUUACAUGCCUGCUCUCCAUCUGCCUUCCAACAUGAUUGGAAGCUUUCCGAUGCCCUCACCAGAAGCAAAUGCUGGUGCCGUGCUUUCUGUACUGCCUGCAGAACUGCUUUCGGCAUUUGGCAUCCACAGGAAACUCCAGCUUGACUUAAGGAGUGAGGUAAGUCUUAUUUUCAGCAAGGAAAUAUUCACCAUUGCUAAAUUAGUUUGGAUUUGCUUUAGAUUUAAACAUGGGUUUAUUUUAAAAGACACUGAGGCCAAAGGAAAAACAAACAGCCCUGCAUGUGUUGGGGAAGCACUGUCUUAUUGACAGAGAAGCUGGCUAGCUGAAAUCAAAUGUUUUUCAGAACAAAGAUAUUAUGGUCUUAAGAUUUCACUUGAAUUUAAAUUCUAGAAUAUUCUAACAAUAAUGAGCAUUUAAUAUGUGCUAGAUUUUUAAAAAUUUUACUUUAAAUUCUGGGAUACAUGUGCAAAACAUGCAGUUUGUUACAUAGGUAUACAUGUGCAGUUUCUGUGGCAUUCCUAGCAAACCUAAGAAGGAGGAUUUUAAAUAUCUCCAUUUUAUUUAUGAGAAAACCAAGGCCAAAAGAGAUGAGGUGAUCUACCUAAGAUCACGUAGCUUAUUAAGAGGAGGGAUUUGAACCCAAACUUAGUCUGGAUUCUGUGUUUGGGCUUACAACCAUUAUUCACUAAAUGACCCAUGAUAUCUGAAAAGAAUCCAUAGGGAAAGAAGAAGCAAGAAUGAGACUAAGCCCAAGUGUAAUGCUUUCCCAGGACUGAGCCAGCAAAAUGUAAUAAUUUUCCAUCUUAAUUCCUUUGACUUACAACUGGGAACCAGUAUUCUGGGUCCAAGACAGACAACCUCAAACCUUGGAUGACUCAUGGAUACUUUUAGCUCAUCUAGGUAAAUUGCCUUAACAACAACAACAACAACAACAACAAGCAACAACAAUAAUAAAUUAGUGAG
rnacentral:lncRNA from 1 species